UCCUCCAACAGACUGGUGAAGAGAAGGUUGAGUGAUGAUUUACAUUUGUUCUACUCAAGGUUCAGCCACAAAAGGGAGUAUUCAGACAGCAGAUAUGAACACAUGAACAUCACAAAAUAAGAGGACUUGAGAUACUGAAGCAGCAUCAGCAGGGGCAGUGGGCAGGUGGGGCCAUCUAGAAGUAGCGCUCAUGGAAGGCCCUGAUGACAGGACUGCAUUCACUGCACUACACACACAAGAAGAGGACUAAGUAAAAUAUCCCCAGAGACUCCACUCACUGCACUAUGCACACAACAGAAGACAAGAUAAGAAUAUCAUGCCAAAGUCCUCAGUUCCCCACCCAGUGAAGCUCAAACCCAAGAAACAAACUUACAGGAGUGUAUGACCACCAUUCUCUCU